GUCUACGGCCAUACCACACCUGAACGCACCCCAUCUCGUUUGAUCUCAGAGGCUAAGCUGGGUUGGGCCUGGUUCGUACUUGGAUGGCAGACA
rnacentral:rRNA from 1 species